UAAUGAUAAUCACAGCUUUUUAUUUUAUUUAGCAACAUGAAACUCAUGAGUACAAAUUGAUAAAAACCAUAAUGCUUUCUCGAAUUAACAGUAUUUUUUUAAAAAAAUUAAUCAAUGGUGACAAUUUGCAAGACAUUCUUCAUAAGAAGGAUAGCAUCCUGGAGCCCAAGCACAACACCAUUUAGCUGGUACACCAGGAACUUGGAUGCAUGGAUCGAUUAAAAUUUGUGCUUUAACUUUUGUACUUUCGUCACCUGCAUUUCGUGAAAUAAGAAUUUUUACACUGUCAGAUCAACUAAAAGAUAACAACAGGUAAUCGUACAUAAAUCUAUUUCAUGUUGUUGCAAUUUUUUUGGUAAUUCUAAUAAUAAUAAUAAUAAUAAUAAUAAAAACUAAGUUUAGAAGGAAUUAAUAUGGACAUACAAUGAUGAAGAGCCAACAUGGAAAACAAAACCAUGGAAAGCAGCAAAACUGAUUGAAGGGAGAAUUUUGUAGUGGCCGUGGAAUUCAAGAUAUG
rnacentral:lncRNA from 1 species